AACGCACCUUGCGCCCUUUGGUAUUCCGAAGGGCAUGCCUGUUUGAGUGUCAUUAAAUUCUCAACCUUGACCAGUUUGUUGAAGUGGCUUGACUGGACUAGUCUGUUCUUUCAAAGCGAAAGCUUUGGUUUGGAGGGUUUGCAGGCUUUGUACUGCUCUCUCUGCGCUAGUUCGGAGGCUACUAUCAGUUUGGAGCUUUGAAUGCCUUUGUUUGCGUACUUGCUCUGUGCUGGACUCAAGGAUUGGAUGUGAGGGUAUUGCUGGCUUCCUUUAGUGGCGGUCUGCUCCCUUUAAAUGUAUUAGUGGGAUCCUGUGUGAAGGGUUCACUUGGUGUGAUAAUUCUACGCCUUUUGAAUCUGAAGCCAAAUCAAUGGAACCUGCUUCUAACCGUCCGCAAGGACAACUACACUUUGACUUUGACCUCAAAUCAGGUAGGACUACCCGCUGAACUUAA
rnacentral:misc_RNA from 1 species